GACGAACGCUGGCGGCGUGCUUAACACAUGCAAGUCGAACGGAAAGGCCUGCUUUCCCUUGUGGAUUGCGGGUGCUCGAGUGGCGAACGGGUGUGUAACACGUGAGUGAUCUGCCCCCAACUUGGGUAUAAGCCCGGGAAACUGGGUCUAAUUCCCGAUAGGACUGCAGGGUGGUGCCUGUGGUGGAAAACGAUUUUCUAGUGGUUGGGGAUGAGCUCGCGGCCUAUCAGCUUGUUGGUGGGGUAAUGGCCUACCAAGGCGGCGACGGGUAGCCGGCCUGAGAGGGUGGACGGCCACAUUGGGACUGAGAUACGGCCCAGACUCCUACGGGAGGCAGCAGUGGGGAAUAUUGCACAAUGGGCGGAAGCCUGAUGCAGCGACGCCGCGUGGGGGAUGACGGCCUUCGGGUGGUAAACUCCUUUCGACCGCGAGGAAGCCACCUGGUUGGAAGGGUGGUGACGGUAGUGGUAGAAGAAGCACCGGCUAACUACGUG
rnacentral:rRNA from 1 species